CUGGAUAUGAGUACAUAUCGGUGGCAGUGGAUUAUGUUUCGAAGUGGAUAGAAAUCAUGGUAACACGAACCAAUGAUAUAAAGUGGUAAUAAAGUUUAUUCAAAAGAACAUUAUAAGUCGGUUCGAUUGCCCUAGAGCCAUAAUCAGUGAUGGAGGAACGCAUUUUACGAACAGGCAAUUUAAGGCUUUAAUGAGGAAAAAUGG
rnacentral:lncRNA from 1 species